CCAAUGGCUCCUUUGGGAGCCAUUCAGGAUUUCUGAGCAGGGAAGU
rfam:Sarcophilus harrisii ctg7180002484925, whole genome shotgun sequence.